AACGGUCUAUACCUGCGGUACCUGCGGAGGGAUCAUUACUGAAUGUCGCCUUGAUGGGUUGUUGCUGGCUCUGAAAACCAGAGCAUGUGCACACCUGUCUUGACUUCUAUUCAUCCACCUGUGCACCUUUUGUAGUCUUUUUGGGGGCUGGAGAAAGCGGUGGCUUAGGCUGCUGUUGAACCUCCCACUGGAGGCUAUGAUUUUUACAUAUACCAUUUAGAAUGUAACAGAAUGUUGUCA
rnacentral:misc_RNA from 1 species